rnacentral:rRNA from 1 species
CCUACGGGUGGCAGCAGUGAGGAAUAUUGGUCAAUGGACGAGAGUCUGAACCAGCCAAGUAGCGUGAAGGAUGACUGCCCUAUGGGUUGUAAACUUCUUUUAUAUGGGAAUAAAAUGUUCCACGUGUGGGAUUUUGUAUGUACCAUAUGAAUAAGGAUCGGCUAACUCCGUGCCAGCAGCCGCGGUAAUACGGAGGAUCCGAGCGUUAUCCGGAUUUAUUGGGUUUAAAGGGAGCGUAGGUGGAUUGUUAAGUCAGUUGUGAAAGUUUGCGGCUCAACCGUAAAAUUGCAGUUGAAACUGGCAGUCUUGAGUACAGUAGAGGUGGGCGGAAUUCGUGGUGUAGCGGUGAAAUGCUUAGAUAUCACGAAGAACACCGAUUGCGAAGGCAGUUCACUGGACUGCAACUGACACUGAGGCUCGAAAGUGUGGGUAUCAAACAGGAUUAGAUACCCGAGUAGUC